rnacentral:rRNA from 1 species
GGCCGCGGGAAUUCGAUUAGAGUUUGAUUAUGGCUCAGGACGAUUGCUGGCGGCGUGCUUAACACAUGCAAGUCGAACGAAGCACUUAAGAAAGAUUCUUCGGAUGAAAGCUUUUGUGACUGAGUGGCGGACGGGUGAGUAACGCGUGGGUAACCUGCCUCACACAGGGGAAUAACAGUUGGAAACGACCGCUAAUACCGCAUAACCCGCUGGUACCGCAUGGUACUGACGGAAAAGAUUUAUCGGUGUGAGAUGGACCCGCGUCUGAUUAGCCAGUUGGCAGGGUAACGGCCUACCAAAGCGACGAUCAGUAGCCGGCCUGAGAGGGUGAACGGCCACAUUGGGACUGAGACACGGCCCAAACUCCUACGGGAGGCAGCAGUGGGGAAUAUUGCACAAUGGGGGAAACCCUGAUGCAGCGACGCCGCGUGAGUGAAGAAGUAUUUCGGUAUGUAAAGCUCUAUCAGCAGGGAAGAAAAUGACGGUACCUGACUAAGAAGCCCCGGCUAACUACGUGCCAGCAGCCGCGGUAAUACGUAGGGGGCAAGCGUUAUCCGGAUUUACUGGGUGUAAAGGGAGCGUAGACGGCGGAGCAAGUCAGAAGUGAAAACCCGGGGCUCAACCCUGGGAGUGCUUUUGAAACUGUUUGGCUGGAGUGCANGAGAGGUAAGCGGAAUUCCUAGUGUAACGGUGAAAUGCGUGGAUAUUAGGAGGAACACCAGUGCCGAAGGCGGCCUACUGGACUGUACCUGACCUUGAGGCUCGAAAGCGGUGGGGAGCAAACAGGAUUAAAUCCCUUGGUUAUCCAGGCCGUCC